AUUGAACGCUGGCGGAAUGCUUUACACAUGCAAGUCGAACGGCAGCACGGACUUCGGUCUGGUGGCGAGUGGCGAACGGGUGAGUAAUGUAUCGGAACGUGCCCAGUCGUGGGGGAUAACGUAGUGAAAAUUACGCUAAUACCGCAUACGAUCUAUGGAUGAAAGCGGGGGAUCGCAAGACCUCGCGCGAGUGGAACGGCCGAUAUCAGAUUAGGUAGUUGGUGGGGUAAAGGCCCACAAAGCCAACGAUCUGUAGCUGGUCUGAGAGGACGACCAGCCACACUGGAACUGAGACACGGUCCAGACUCCUACGGGAGGCAGCAGUGGGGAAUUUUGGACAAUGGGCGAAAGCCUGAUCCAGCCAUUCCGCGUGCAGGAUGGAGGCCCUCGGGUUGUAAACUGCUUUUGUACAGAACGAAAAGGUUUCUACUAAUACUAGGAGCUCAUGACGGUACUGUAAGAAUAAGCACCGGCUAACUACGUGCCAGCAGCCGCCGUAA
rnacentral:rRNA from 1 species